GGGCUCGCAGGCGGUUUCUUAAGUCUGAUGUGAAAGCCCCCGGCUCAACCGGGGAGGGUCAUUGGAAACUGGGAAACUUGAGUGCAGAAGAGGAGAGUGGAAUUCCACGUGUAGCGGUGAAAUGCGUAGAGAUGUGGAGGAACACCAGUGGCGAAGGCGACUCUCUGGUCUGUAACUGACGCUGAGGAGCGAAAGCGUGGGGAGCGAACAGGAUUAGAAACCCUNGUAGUC
rnacentral:rRNA from 1 species